rnacentral:rRNA from 1 species
UUCGGUUGAUCCUGCCGAAGGCUACUGCUAUUGGAGUUCGAUUAAGCCAUGCGAGUCUAAGGGGUACUUGUACCCCUGGCAUAAUGCUCAGUAACACGUGGAUAAUCUACCCUUAGGUGGGGCAUAAACCCGGGAAACUGGGGCCAAUUCCCCAUAGAUACAGAAGGCUGGAAUGCCCCUGUAUUCAAAGCUCCGGCGCCUAAGGAUGAGUCUGCGGCCUAUCAGGUAGUAGUCAGGGUCACGACCUGACUAGCCAACGACGGGUACGGGGUGUGAGAGCACUUGCCCGGAGAUGGUUUCUGAGACACGAAACCAGGCCCUACGGGGCGCAGCAGGCGCGAAAACUUCGCAAUGCGGGAAACCGUGACGAGGGAACUCCAAGUGUCUAUGCAAUGCAUAGACUGUUUUUCAGCCUAAAUAGCUGUUAGAGUAAGGGGUGGGUAAGACCGGUGCCAGCCGCCGCGGUAACACCGGCACCCCAAGUGGUAGCCACUAUUAUUGGGCCUAAAGCGUUCGUAGCCGGUUUAGUAAAUUCUUGGGUAAAUCGUACAGCUUAACUGUGCGGAUUCCGGGGACACUACUAGACUUGAGACCGGGAGAGAUUAGAGGUACUUGCAGGGGAGCGGUGAAAUGUUGUAAUCCUGCAGGGACCACCAGUGGCGAAGGCGUCUAAUCAUAACGGCUCUGACGGUGAGGAACGAAACCCUGGGGCGCAAACGGGAUUAGAUACCCCGGUAGUCCAGGGCGUAAACGCUGCUGACUUGGUGUUGGAGAUCCUACGAGGGUGUCCAGUGCUGGCGCGAAGGUAUUAAGUCAGCCGCCUGGGGAGUACGGUCGCAAGACUGAAACUUAAAGGAAUUGGCGGGGGAGCACUGCAACGUGUGGAGCGUGCGGUUUAAUUGGAUUCAACGCCGGAAAACUCACCGGGGGCGACGGUUACAUGAAGGCCAAGCUGAUGACUUUGCCUGAUUUUCCGAGAGGUGGUGCAUGGCCGCCGUCAGUUCGUACCGUAAGGCGUUCUGUUAAGUCA